UACGACUACAUAUCAGGCAUAUCAAUAAGCGGAGGAAAAGAAACUAACAAGGAUUCCCUUAGUAACGGCGAGUGAAGCGGGAAGAGCUCAAAUUUGAAAUCUUCAAGGUUUUACCUUGACGAAUUGUAGUUUAAAGAAGUGUUUUCUGUUGGAGUUUUGGUAAAAGUUCUUUGGAAUAGGACAUCAUAGAGGGUGAGAAUCCCGUAUUUGACCAUUAUUUCCAGCUUUGUGAUACACUUUCAAAGAGUCGGAUUGUUUGGGAAUGCAGUCCAAAAUGGGUGGUAAAUUUCAUCUAAAGCUAAAUAUUGGCGAGAGACCGAUAGCGAACAAGUACCGUGAGGGAAAGAUGAAAAGAACUUUGAAAAGAGAGUUAAGCAGUACGUGAAAUUGUCAAAAGGGAAGCGUUUGACACCAGUGUUGUUUUCUCGAAAAUCAAUUAAAAAUAGGUUGAUUUUGUGUUGUAUUGACCUUAACAGCUUUCUUCACUCUUUUCCAGCUUUUUUUUAAUGCACUUUUCGUUUAACAAGUCAACAUCAGUUUCUUUUGUUGUAAAAGGGUCAUUGGAAGGUGGCUUUCUCUUCGGAGAAAGUGUUUAUAGCCUUUGAUCUCUGCAAUCGGAGAGACUGAGGUCUGCAGCGUAGAUCCUUCGGGGUUAGAUACAUUUGUGCUAAGCUACAGCUUUUCAUAGACAACUUGUUGACUAUGUUUAGUCUUGUGACUUACCCGCUUAUGCUAUUUUACCUACGCUUAGGAUGUUGAGCGCAUGUCUCUCUCU
rnacentral:rRNA from 1 species